UCAGCGAUGUCUUUGAAAAUGUUGGUGGAAA
rnacentral:piRNA from 1 species